rnacentral:lncRNA from 1 species
CCAGCCUCAGCCUCCCCUCCCCGGGAGCCGGCCAGGGCUUGCCUCAGGGACUGCUCUCCCCCUGCCGCUGGGCAGCUCCUUCCUAAAAGCUGGAUGGGCCAUGCCCCCCUCAUUGGAAGGUUGUUGGGCCCAGUUGUGGAUGAGGCCCGGCCUGUCUGCCCUCCCCCUGCCGCUGCACAGCUCCUUCCUAAAAGCUGGAUGGGCCAUGCCCCCUCAUUGGAAGGUUGUUGGGCCCAGUUGUGGAUGAGGCCCUGGCCUGUCUGCCCUCCCCCAGGCCUGCUGCUGGUUGGCUGGUGGAUGACCCCUGGUGUCAGAGACCCCCCCCCCAGGGAGCAGGACCCUAGCAUGAGCUGGUCUGCCAGGGGCAGUUGGGCCUGAGAGAGGUGCUGCCAGCCGGUGGGAGCGGGACAUGGGUGGAGGGGCCUCCAGGCCAUGGCUGGAACAGCCAGACAUUGACAGGCCCGAUGCCGAAGGACCCCUGAGACGUAACAACAUACAGCCAUACCUAGAGAGUCAACAAGGAGCCUUUAUUGGAGCCGGCGAUGGGAGAAUGGGAAUAUCUCUCCAAGCAAGGCGGUCCCAGGCUUUCAUGGACAGACAUCGGGGCCCUCGCUCAAUGGCCCACGCUAGAAGAUACCGAGCCCUCCCUGAAAGCCUGCUGGCAGCUCUGGCUGGAGCAGAAGAGCAAAGCUCCGGAGCGGUUGUUGAGGCCUCCUCCCAGUCUCUGGCUGAAGAACCCCAGGAGGCAGCAGGAGCCGAUGGCAGUGACAAAUCUCACCCUCCACCUGCACCCAUGAGUUCUCCACAACUUGCCAGUGGCCUAGAAGAACAAGAAGAACGAGGACAAGAAGAAGAUGGAAGAACUGAAGAUGUCCCUUCUGCCCUGAACACCACAGGGGAGGGGAUAUGUAGUGGGGGAUGUUAAAGGACUGGAGCCCAGCCUUAUAAACUCUGGCCUUGUCCCCUUCAUCUGUUUCAUCAUUCCCCCCUUUCCCGUUGGCGUUCCCCUUUGGGCCUUCUCUCUCCCCUUCCCCUUUGGCCUAAAGGCUCCUUUCAACAGCGAUUGUCCUAUAGAUUUGAGGAG